rnacentral:rRNA from 1 species
GACGAUCGCUGGCGGCGUGCUUAACACAUGCAAGUCGAACGGAAAGGCCCUGCUUUUGUGGGGUGCUCGAGUGGCGAACGGGUGAGUAACACGUGAGUAACCUGCCCUUGACUUUGGGAUAACUUCAGGAAACUGGGGCUAAUACCGGAUAGGAGCUCCUGCUGCAUGGUGGGGGUUGGAAAGUUUCGGCGGUUGGGGAUGGACUCGCGGCUUAUCAGCUUGUUGGUGGGGUAGUGGCUUACCAAGGCUUUGACGGGUAGCCGGCCUGAGAGGGUGACCGGCCACAUUGGGACUGAGAUACGGCCCAGACUCUUACGGGAGGCAGCAGUGGGGAAUAUUGCACAAUGGGCGGAAGCCUGAUGCAGCAACGCCGCGUGCGGGAUGACGGCCUUCGGGUUGUAAACCGCUUUCGCCUGUGACGAAGCGUGAGUGACGGUAAUGGGUAAAGAAGCACCGGCUAACUACGUG